rnacentral:rRNA from 1 species
UAGGGAAUCUUCCGCAAUGGGCGAAAGCUUGACGGAGCAACGCCGCGUGAGUGAUGAAGGUCUUCGGAUCGUAAAACUCUGUUAUUAGGGAAGAACAAAUGUGUAAGUAACUAUGCACGUCUUGACGGUACCUAAUCAGAAAGCCACGGCUAACUACGUGCCAGCAGCCGCGGUAAUACGUAGGUGGCAAGCGUUAUCCGGAAUUAUUGGGCGUAAAGCGCGCGUAGGCGGUUUUUUAAGUCUGAUGUGAAAGCCCACGGCUCAACCGUGGAGGGUCAUUGGAAACUGGAAAACUUGAGUGCAGAAAAGGAAAGUGGAAUUCCAUGUGUAGCGGUGAAAUGCGCAGAGAUAUGGAGGAACACCAGUGGCGAAGGCGACUUUCUGGUCUGUAACUGACGCUGAUGUGCGAAAGCGUGGGGAUCAAACAGG